AACAGUACACCCUAGGGAAAGAUAAUUUUCAAUAAUAAAAAGCACCGGGAAAUGGCGCGCAGUGCAAAAGGGAUGGCAUGAUGCAAAAUUUUGGCGUAGUUAGGUUUCCUCCUCGAAGCGCCGCCAGAAAAGCCCAAUAUUUCCCCCUUCGUCCAGGCGACAUCGAGUCGUCCUCCACCGUUGUGCAGCCAUGCUCUCCCCACGCCGUCUGGCCGUGCUCGCCCCCGUUCAAUCAACCACGCAUGGUCUCUGCUGACAGUUGCUCUCCUACACCGCCGCCUCUCCUUGCCGCCAGGAUGGAGAACAGGGGGAUUGAGACCGUGGAGGAAAGGCUAUAGGUGCCGGCGCCACCCAACAGGAGCCGGUGAUGGCCGGUCGGCUCGGACGACAGCGUCGGCAUCUACAUGACCUUGAUGAAGUCCGACCCCAGCUCCACCUCUGCACUGGCCAUGACACCGUGACGCCCCAACUGCCUAGGUGAUGCUGCAUAUUUCCUCUUGUAUUUGUGGCUUUUUGUUUGAUACACGAACAGUAUAAGGGUCUCAGAUUUAGUACAAUGUUACGCUUGUGUGCGAACCUUUUCUGCUGUUGCUGCAAAUUGUUGUGUGCAUCGGCUUGACCGUGAGUUAGUUAUUUAGCCAAAUGAGGUGUUCAACUGGUCAGUUGUAUUCGGAUGAUUGUCUAGCUCUUUAGGAACUAAUUACAAGCAGUACAAACACAUGGGAGGUUCAUUCAAAGUUUUUAGCUACAUACUAGCUGUGGAUUGUUUGAGAGCUCCCUCGCACUAUAAUUUUAGGAUUUUAUAGCCAUUUGCAGUUGCUUCUUUUAUUUAGAGCUCAGGGAGUGAAAGGUUGUGAAGUUCACAUGACCUCUGUUUCUUCAUAGAUAAGGAGACUCCGACAUCAAUCAUCGUCACACCAUCCCCUUAUUCAUCUCUUUGUAAUACCAAACCCUAGGUGGAUUCCUACAUGUAUUACUUUAAUCAUUCAUCCAUCAUUACCAUGAGUAUCGCUUUGAUGCUUGUUGUCUCUAUACCCAAGCAAAACCCCUAUUUCUCAGGGAUAUGGAGGAAACCUAGUAUGUUUAGGUGUUGAACGCCGAUAGGAUUCGAUAUCCUUUGUAUGUUUAUGGUAAUAAUCUUUCUGAUGUUGGGUGAAGUUAACCACUCAACAUUUGAUCCUUGGGACAUAAUGUUUAUUACUAUUGGUGUGAUGCUGGGUUUGUGGAGGUAUUGCGGUGACAGAAGUUAUGUCCCUUCUUCCCUAGCCACUUGAUGGGGGAUUACUUAAGACCGCCUUUAGCUACCUCCAUAGGGAUACCCUUAACCACUGUUGUCAUAACCUGCAUGUGUGGAGGAAUGGUGGUGCCGUAUGUGAUAUGUAGAUGCGACAUGUAUGCGCACAUAACUGUACUUGGAUAUACCCACUUAUAGAAACAUACAUAGUGGCUUAGUUAUCUGAACCUAGAACUGCGCUUUUGCAUAAGUUUUGUUAGACACAUACUAGUGGGGAAUCUAGACUCCUUGAGAAAGCCUUACCCUAUUGAUUUCAUCACCACCAUUUACUCUAUGUUGUUCUUUUAUAUAAUCUCACACUUUACUUUCAAUAACAAAUCAUUUGCAAGAUAUUCAACUUUCUCUUUCGCUUUGCUUUGUGCUGUAACUUACUUACAUGCACAUUUCUAUAAAUCCUUACAAGAGUGAUAGACCACCAGUCUUCCUGGUGGGAUCGAUAUUCUUAGUUCAAAAAAAUCUACAACCAAACUAUGUGCCACUUGCAGAUCAUCUGGUGCUGUUGCCGGGGAGCUAAGCGCUUUUAGUCUUUGUUUUAAGUUUUGGUUCAUUUUGUGUACUAAGUUAUUUUGCAGGUUCAACGCAACCAUGGCCGAGUUCGGUCAACUAAAGAAAUCUUCACUUCCUUGGGCCGGAUACCUAAUGGUGAAACUUACGAGAUCAACAUACCAACUUGUGCAGCUAUUUGGUGAGAUAUGCGAGACAUUUAAACUAAAUGCCUUCACCUAUGAUGAGAUGAAAUUAAAAUCAUUUGGGAAGACACUAACUGCCAAGGCAAAGGCAUGCUUAUUUUCUCAUCCGUAAGUACCUUCGACAUGUGAGAAAAAUCAUGUAACGUAUUCUUGGGGCAUUUUUAUACAGAGAAGAAAUCUUAUGUAGCAGGCGUAUGAUCAUCAAUUUUAAUUAGAAACCAGGUAAGAGGCUUGUAAAGGCAUAUAUGAGGUAUUGUUCUUUCCUUAGUUAUUUCCCUCGUCAUAAAUUACCAUCCCGGUUGGUGCCAAAUUUCUUUUAUGAAGGGCUUAAUGAUUACAUGUGUAUAAAAAAAACCAGCCGGCCUCGGUGGUCAGCAAUCUCUCAUAUUAAAGACAUGUGUAUAAAAUUUUCUA